rnacentral:rRNA from 1 species
GUCCUAGCCCUAAACGAUGAAUGCUUGGUGUCUGGAGUGUUAAUUCUCUGGGUGCCGCCGCUAACGCUUUUAGCAUUCCGCCUGGGGAGUACGCACGCAAGUGUGAAACUCAAAGGAAUUGACGGGGACCCGCACAAGCGGUGGAGCAUGUGGUUUAAUUCGACGCAACGCGAAGAACCUUACCUGAACUAGAAUGCGAGGAAAUAUUAUGUAAUGUAAUAGGCUGGGCAACCAGAUCCGAAGCAAGGUGCUGCAUGGCUGUCGU